GGGUAGGUACCCAAGCGGUCAAAGGGGGCAGACUGUAAAUCUGCUGGCGUGAGCCUUCGGAGGUUCGAGUCCUCCCCUGCCCA
rfam:Candidate division WOR_3 bacterium SM23_60 WORSMTZ_16675, whole genome shotgun sequence.